GUGAACCACUCUGGAGAGACCGGUUGAAUCCGGCGCCGAAGGGGCACGAAGCGCAGACCUCCUCAGGGUCGGCUUCCAAAACUCUCAGGCAAAAGGACAGAGGGGCGAGC
rnacentral:ncRNA from 2 species